GACGAACGCUGGCGGCGUGCUUAACACAUGCAAGUCGAACGAGUGGGAACGUGUGACUAACACGUGGGUAACCUCCCAUCAGAGGGGAUAACACUUGGAAACAGGUGCUAAACCGAUACUGCUGGAUGGACCCGCGGUGCAUUAGCUAGUUGGUGAGGUAACGGCUCACCAAGGCCACGAUGCAUAGCCGACCUGAGAGGGUGAUCGGCCACACGGGGACUGAGACACGGCCCAGACGCCUACGGGAGGCAGCAGUAGGGAAGCGUCGGCAAUGGACGAAAGUCUGACCGAGCAACGCCGCGUGAGUGAAGAAGGUUUUCGGAUCGUAAAACGCUGUUGUUAGAGAAGCGGUAUCUAACCAGAAAGCCACGGUUAACUACGUGCCAGCAGCCGCGGUAAUUC
rnacentral:rRNA from 1 species